CGGGACGUAGCGCAGCUUGGUAGCGCAUCGGUCUGGGGGACCGAGGGUCGCAGGUUCAAAUCCUGUCGUUCCGA
rnacentral:tRNA from 1 species